rnacentral:lncRNA from 13 species
GUCUAUGAUCCCAAUAAGGAGGGAUGACUAAUAUAUUUGUUAAAAUAUUUUCACUGUUCUUCUCUAAUUUAAGCUAAAACAACAAACUUGCUCUAGAUCCUGAUAGUAUUUCUUCUUGAAACUCUCCUUUCAGACUUGAUUCGAUUUAAGGCCUGGUGCAAAAGCGGAAGAUUUGACAGUGCCUGGAGGGGUCAGAGGCAGAGAAAUCCUGUGGCGCUUCACUGAGGGGCACUAUCUCCAUAAGAUUCUUGAAGGGGCCUCCUGAUUCUUCUAACCCUGGUAGGACUUAAUGGCAAGCUGCAUUUGUGGGCAAAGUUCUUUUGCUUUUCUGUUGUUCAGAGAGAACUGCUGCUUGUGAGAUGUAGAGAAUGGAACAGCUCACUAGAAAGGUAAGAGGUUUCUGUUUUACAUGCCUGGCCUACAAGUGUGGAACAUGCUAUGCCUGCAGGUUUGCCACAGUGGAGAGAUCCUGGGAGCGGAACCUGCUCAAGUAUGGAAGAGAGGCAAAACCUUGGACAGGCUGAGUGUUGCAGAAAAUAUGAAAUGAAUCUGAAGCCAGUGAAUCCACGGAAUUCUUCUUUCCGGCAUGUGGUAACAAAGGGGUCCCUGCAUGACAAACAGCCCUCAUUCACCCCUUGUCUCAAAAUCUUCUUGGCUCCCGUUUUUGUUUUUUCAACUUGGAAAUAGAAUAUAUGAAAGACAGACUGAAGAGUGGCAACCAAAAUCCAGAAGGCUGGAGACAUUUCUGCCAUUCACAGAAUUUAUGAAAAUCCCCUGUCUGGA